rfam:Rhodnius prolixus Rhodnius_prolixus-3.0.3-586.2, whole genome shotgun sequence.
UCAACGGCCCUUUUCAGGGCCACCAAAUUUUAAAUCACUUGAAAAU